rnacentral:pre_miRNA from 1 species
AGUGGGAUAGCUGGGUCAAAUGGGUGAUUUCAUUCCACUUUUUCUAAGGAAUCUACAAAUUGCUUUCCAUAAUGGUUGCACCAAUUUGCAAUCCCACCAGCAAU